rnacentral:rRNA from 1 species
UAAUACGUAGGGGGCGAGCGUUGUCCGAAGUUACUGGGCGUAAAGCGCGCGUAGGCGGGGGGUUAAGUGAGAGGUGAAAGGCUGGGGCUCAACCUCAUGCAGUGCCUCUCAUACUGGCCUUCUUGAGGGCGGUAGGGAGAAGUGGAAUGGCUGGUGUAGCGGUGAAAUGCGUAGAUAUCAGUCGGAACACCGGUGGCGAAGGCGGCUUCUUGGGCCGUUCCUGACGCUGAUGCGCGAAAGCUGGGGGAGCGAACGGGAUUAGAUACCCCGGUAGUCCCAGCCGUAAACGAUGGAUACUAGGUGUCGGGGGUAUCGACCCCUCCGGUGCCGCAGCUAACGCAUUAAGUAUCCCGCCUGGGGAGUACGGCCGCAAGGUU